rnacentral:rRNA from 1 species
UNUGCUGUGAAAGGCUGGGGCUUAACCCUGGUUUUGCAGUGGNUACGGGCUAACUAGAGUGCUGUAGGGGAGACUGGAAUUCCUGGUGUAGCGGUGGAAUGCGCAGAUAUCAGGAGGAACACCGAUGGCGAAGGCAGGUCUCUGGGCUGUAACUGACGCUGAGAAGCGAAAGCAUGGGGAGCGAACAGGAUUAGAUACCCUGGUAGUCCAUGCCGUAAACGUUGGGCACUAGGCGUGGGGGACAUUCCACGUUUUCCGCGCCGUAGCUAACGCAUUAAGUGCCCCGCCUGGGGAGUACGGCCGCAAGGCUAAAACUCAAAGAAAUUGACGGGGGCCCGCACAAGCGGCGGAGCAUGCGGAUUAAUUCGAUGCAACGCGAAGAACCUUACCAAGGCUUGACAUAUACUGGACUGCGUCAGAGAUGGCGUUUCCCUUCGGGGCUGGUAUACAGGUGGUGCAUGGUUGUCGUCAGCUCGUGUCGUGAGAUGUUGGGUUAAGUCCCGCAACGAGCGCAACCCUCGUUCUAUGUUGCCAGCACGUGAUGGUGGGGACUCAUAGGAGACUGCCGGGGUCAACUCGGAGGAAGGUGGGGAUGACGUCAAAUCAUCAUGCCCCUUAUGUCUUGGGCUUCACGCAUGCUAC